rnacentral:pre_miRNA from 12 species
CGGCCAACGGGCAGCCACACACACACACACACGAACGGAUCGAACCUGUUGCGAGACGAACUUCGCUCGAGCUCGAGCAACGGGUCGAUCCAAGCCAUAGCCCAGCC